ensembl:lncRNA
GCGGUGCUUCCGCCUAGCAACGCGAGUGUUGCGGGCGUCGCUAAGGAGGGGAAGCCGCCGGUUCCGGACAUGGCGGAGCAAGCGCUGGGCGUGCGGGGCCGCGGCGCCCGGAUCAGAGAGAAGCCAAACAAAUUCCUGAGCAGCACCCAGAAAACUACUACUACUCACCAUCUGAGCCUCAAAGGACUGGAAAAGAGCCAGACACUGCACAGCAACUGGGAAGGAACUUCAUUAUUUAAAAAACAAACUGAUACUAGCUUGUCCCCAUAUAUAGAGAAGAGUCCCAGCAUUGACGACUUAGAAGAAAGUUUGCGGAAACUUAAAGUUCAGGUGGACAGCUUGGCCUCGAGUCUGAGUUUUGACCCUCAUCAAGAUUAUGCCAUAGACUCUAGCGCUACAGUCAACUUGAGCACCUUUAAUUCUGCAUGGCCAAGAGUUCCUAAUGGGACCUAUGCAGAGGCAGACAUCGGAGAUUCACCAAAGCCAUCUGCAGAGUCUGAGUGGUUUCUGAACCCAAGACAUCUAGUCAAACCACUGGGAGAGUAUCCAGCGCUAACAAGCUUGGGCCUUCCGACAUUCUCCACAUCACCCAUCAACCGUGUGCCAGGGCUCCUGGGGAGUGAGAUUGCAAGUCAGAACUAUGUGCCGUCACUGGAUCUUGCACAUACAGAGUCUUUCCCAGUGAAGCUUGGUGCUCCUCAUGUGAUUGGAGUCAGGUCAUUGUUGCCCCCUAAAAUCCCAGUGCAGGAUCGCUCUCCUGAAAGGUCCCUCUCCCUUGAUCGUUCUGGAACCAACCGAUCCCGUUCAUUCUCUCCGGCUCCCAAAAGAACCCGGUGGCUAAGGUCUCGCUCACAGUCACCUAGACCCAUCUGGAGACCAAAUUCUGCUAAGGCAAAUGCCUGUGCCCAGCCUCCACCACACUUUGGCAGGUCUAGGUACAGCAGAAAGAAAACAGCUUCAACCAGACAAUCACGAUCCAGAAUAUACAAACCAGGAGCCCUGGCUGCUAGGUCCUGUACUCCAGCCAGGAUGAAUACAAGGGGACCACUGAGCUAUUCUUGGAGCCCUUACAGUCUGCCUUCCACUGCUGUAUCCUCACCAACAGCUCAGGAGAUUAAUGAACGGUUUUUGCAGACUCUUGCAGAAGGUGCUGUUGGGAGGUCCCUGAUAGAAAUGUCCCCGUAUCAGAAGGAGCUGGCUCGUCUCAGGCUGGAGCGUCUGCGUGUGGAGGAGGAAUGGUUAUUAGAACUAAAGAGGCAGCAAGAAUUGGAGCGAACUCGGGGUCCAAAACCAAAGUGGUAUGAGAUGAAAAACUCCCAGUUUCAUUAUGAAGCCCACAAGAAUAAUGAGUUGCUGAGGAACAGCCAGGACUUGCAGUCUGUCUAUAACUAUAGGCAGGAACUGGCAUCCAUGUCCAAGGAAUUCCAGCAGCAUUUGAAACCUGCUCACCUGCACUCUCUCUGGGAAGAGCUCUAACUAACCUGUGCUGGUAGGAGGUGCAAUCAGAGACGCCAGCCUGUGAAUUCUGGGAGGCCCUUGUGCUGUGCUUAAUGAAGAGGAAACAAGAUGGUGGAGAGGGGAAUUCUUUAGACCCACUAGCCUAUGGGCCAGUUCCACUCCAGUGCAUCUUCACUGCCUUCAGUGCUGAAGUUAGUCAGUUAUUAUUUACGAUAAUAAGCCAAAUCACUACUGCUAUUAUUCACCUCUGUGCCAAGAGCCAGCAGAAAAUCUACAUGCUGGCCUUCCGCACGGGGGGAAUUUUACCCUGUGAGGAGCUAUCCCUAAUCAACUUACUUGCAGUAUAAAAGAGCCUUUUACUGAAGUGGAGGGGAAAGGAUUGAGGCAAGGGGAAAGUUAAGGGAACAAAUCUAUGGAAUGAUUAUAAUGAGGACCUCAGAAACAGCCCUAAAGCCCUAUUUGUCAGAUCCUGCAGCUUGAGAUGAUGAAAAACUCAGAAUACGGCAUUGAUGGGGUUGGACACAUGGAUAAAUAGCAUCAUGGCAUUUGUUCAGCCUUUCCACUUAUGGUGUCCUUUCUUUUCAGCACUUGCUUCCUUCAAAGUGCAGUUUGAGUGACUCCUUGCUCUUUUUUGCAGUUUCCUUCAUUUUUUCUUUAAUCCCUUCUGUAGUUAGCUGCUGGCAAGUAGAGCAUUCUAAAAGCAGCAAGCUGCCCAGGUUCAGCUGCAAACAAAAGCCGCACACAUUCCUGCAGCUACUAACAGAUGUUCUGUGCUGCAUCAUCCCAAGGUGCAAUGCAGAGCAUUCUGGAAGCCAAAACAAUGGCAGGUUGGUUUGUUUUGAAGAUGUUAGCCUGCAGUGUCCAUUAUUUCCACAGUUUACAAGCAAACAGCCCAGGGACGAUCCAUCUCUGUUCCCUAAACAAUAUAAUGAAUUCUACUUCAACAAAUUUCUAAUUCACAUUUUAAAUUUUCCAGCAGAGGCCUCAGAAUAUAUUGAUUGUUUUAAUAAAACUCUGUUUCCAGUGAUCA